UCGAACAUGAACUUUGCAGCUCCAGAAUUGUGUCAUCAAAAGAUUUAGGAACUAAUCACUCAGUGCGUAGCUAAGCACAGACGUGUCGAUCCUGUGAAUGAAACAAUGAUCAACUUUGAAAAUGGUAAGCUGACGUAUUCUGCAUCUUAAUAUUGCUUUAUUAUGGAAAGA